rnacentral:rRNA from 1 species
ACGGAAGGCAGCAGUGGGGAAUAUUGCACAAUGGGGGAAACCCUGAUGCAGCGACGCCGCGUGAGUGAAGAAGUAUUUCGGUAUGUAAAGCUCUAUCAGCAGGGAAGAUAAUGACGGUACCUGACUAAGAAGCACCGGCUAAAUACGUGCCAGCAGCCGCGGUAAUACGUAUGGUGCAAGCGUUAUCCGGAUUUACUGGGUGUAAAGGGAGCGCAGACGGCAGAGCAAGUCUGAAGUGAAAGCCCCGGGCUCAACCCGGGAACUGCUUUGGAAACUGUUUUGCUAGAGUGUCGGAGAGGUAAGUGGAAUUCCUAGUGUAGCGGUGAAAUGCGUAGAUAUUAGGAGGAACACCAGUGGCGAAGGCGGCUUACUGGACGAUAACUGACGUUGAGGCUCGAAAGCGUGGGGAGCAAACAGGAUUAGAUACCCUGGUA